AAAUACAAUGAUUAAAAUUAUAAAAUAUGGUUUUCUACCAAUAAACAAUGAUCGGCAGCGUGGUCAAAAUAUAUCAAAAGGCCAAAAGCUAUUCGAGUCGGGCCAUGUUUUUGAUCUCAUAGAAACAGUUGGCCAAGAACAAGAAACAAUAUUAACUGGCAAAAUUGUUGCUCAGACAAAAAUUUCAAAUGUAUAUGAUGUUAAGGUAACACUUGAUUGCAAUAGAAACAUUAAAAGUGCAACUUGUAAUUGCAAGGCAGGUCUAUCAGGACAAUGUAAGCAGGUCUGUGCCUUAGUGCAUUACGUAAAUUCUGCAGAAAGUGCAGAAUCGAAAACCAGUUAUGCACAACAAUGGGGCAAACCAACGUACCGACAGUUACUGGGUUAUGAUAAAGGAGUGACAAUGGCAGAGUUAUUUCCAACUCCACCAAUAAGUAUUAAAGUAUUACGUGUGUUUUA